AAAAGCAGCAGUGACUCCACUUCAGCAGCUGUGAUCAUUGGAGAAGAAUUACUGCCAUCAUUCAUGACUUUGUAGUUUGGAAGGGCUGUCAGCACUAACCUUUGCAUCUUUGGGCAAGAAACCACUAUCAAGUCAUUAAUAAGAAGUCUUCAGGACCAACUAAAGAAUAGGUAAAUCUUGGACAAUUCUUUGGGAUUGAACUGAAAGAGAUAUAAUGAUAGCAACCCCUGAAGAGAAUCUGGAGGGAUCUGAUUGAUACAAGGCAACCCACUGCAUGGAACCCUUCAAAAAGCAGAGAUUAUAGAAAGGUUGUGAAGAAAAGGAUGAAUAGGAAAUCAUAUGCAUGUCUGCCAUGUGACAUGAGGCUAAAGAAGCAUUUUGAGUAGCCAAGGAAACUGGAUUCUUUGCAGAACAAUGUACAAUAGACCAAUCCUGCCCUAAAUGCACAUUGAUUUUCAUCAGAAUAAUUGCAGUAAAAGCAGAAUUUAGUUAUAAGCAUAUAUCCCAGAUCACUUUCACCUAUGGAAAAUGCUAAUAAAUGGAUGAGAAUGUAAGAACCAACCUGUCUGGGCUUCAUUGUACUACUCCUAUGAUCCUUACAAUUUUUCUUUAAGGUAGAUGGUGUAUUUGUGUAAUUGUCCUCAUUGUGUAGAUGAAGCU